GAGGCGCCCAGGCUGGCGACGAUUGGCUGGGGGAGGCGGAGGGGUAGGUUGCACGGGAGGCCGAGAGGGGGCAGCAGGCGAUGGCGGCGGCGGGUCUGCUAGGCUGGUUGCUCGCUGCGUUCUGCCUGGGCAACGCCGACGGGGAGGCGGCGCCGGGCCCGCGAGUGCUGGGUGUCUGUCUGGAGGAGGACGGAGCCGCGGGCGUGGGGUGGGCGAGCGGAGAGGAGGUGCAGGCCGCGCCCGAGGCCACCUUCCGCCUGCGCCUCUUCGGCUCGGGCUUUGCCAACAGCUCCUGGUCCUGGGUGGCCCCCGAGGGGGCGGGCUGCCCCGAGGGCGGGCCGGCCGCGGCGCCCGAGGAGGCAGCAGCGGUCCCCACGGGCGAGUGGCGCGCGCUGCUGCGCCUGCGCGCCGAGCCCGUGCGCCAGCACUCGGCGCUGCUGGCUGUGCGUGGGGGGCCGGGCAGCGCGGCAGCCCAGGAGGCGGCGGCCCCCACGGGCGAGUGGCGCGCGCUGCUGCGCCUGCGCGCCGAGGUCGUGCGCCCGCACUCGGCGCUGCUGGCGGUGCGCGUGGAGCCGGGCGGCGCGGCGGGCGAGGAGGCGGCACCACCCUGGGCGCUGGGGCUGGGGGCGGUGGGCCUGCUGGCGCUGGCGGCGCUGGCGCGGGGCUUGCAGCUGAGCGCGCUGGCGCUGGUACCGGCCGAGGUGCAGGUGCUGCGCGAGAGCGGCUCGGAGGCUGAGCGUGCGGCGGCGCGGCGCCUGGAGCCGGUGCGGCGCUGGGCCGGCUGCGCCCUGGGCGCGCUGCUGCUGCUGGCCAGCCUGGCGCAGGCGGCGCUGGCCGUGCUGCUGUACCGCGCAGCCGGCCAGCGCGCCGUGCCCGCUGUGCUGGGCAGCGCGGGGCUCGUGUUCCUGGUGGGCGAGGUGGUGCCGGCCGCCGUGAGCGGGCGCUGGGCGUUGGCGCUGGCGCCGCGCGCGCUGGUUCUCAGCCGCCUGGCGGUGUUGCUCACCCUGCCGGUGGCGCUGCCCGUGGGGCAGCUGCUGGAGCUGGCGGCGCGGCCCGGGCGGCUGCGUGAGCGCGUGCUGGAGCUGGCGCGCGGCGGCGGCGACCCCUACAGCGACCUCAGCAAGGGGGUGCUGCGCUGCCGGACGGUGGAAGACGUUCUCACGCCGCUCGAGGACUGCUUCAUGCUGGACGCCAGCGCCGUGCUGGACUUCGGUGUCCUGGCCAGCAUCAUGCAGAGCGGCCACACGCGCAUCCCCGUGUACGAGGAGGAGCGCUCCAACAUCGUAGACAUGCUCUACCUCAAGGACUUGGCUUUCGUGGACCCCGAAGACUGCACGCCGCUCAGCACCAUCACCCGCUUCUACAAUCACCCACUCCACUUCGUCUUCAACGACACCAAGCUGGACGCCGUCCUGGAGGAGUUCAAGCGAGGGAAGUCCCACCUGGCCAUCGUGCAGAAGGUGAACAAUGAGGGCGAAGGUGACCCCUUCUACGAGGUGCUGGGCCUCGUCACCCUGGAGGACGUCAUUGAGGAGAUCAUCAAGUCGGAGAUCCUGGAUGAGUCUGAAGACUACCGAGACGCCGCGGUGAGGAAGAAGCAUACUUAUCUGAGUGCCCCUCUCAGGCGGAAAGAGGAAUUCUCCCUGUUCAAGGUGUCUGAUGAGGACUAUAAAGUGAAGAUCUCGCCCCAGCUGCUCUUGGCCACCCAGCGCUUCCUUUCCCGAGAGGUGGAUGUAUUCAGCCCACUGCGAAUCUCCGAGAAGGUCCUGCUGCACCUGCUGAAGCAUCCCAGCGUCAACCAGGAAGUGAGGUUUGACGAGAGCAACCGCCUGGCUGCACACCAUUACCUGUACCAGCGCAGCCAGCCGGUGGAUUAUUUCAUUCUCAUCCUGCAGGGCAGGGUUGAGGUGGAGAUCGGGAAAGAGGGCCUGAAGUUCGAGAACGGGGCCUUCACCUACUAUGGAGUGUCUGCCCUGACGGCGCCAUCCUCGGUUCACCAGUCCCCCGUGUCCUCGCUCCAGUCCAUCCGCCAUGACCUGCAGCCUGAGCCAGCCGACAGCACACGCCUGUCUGCGUAUUGUCCUGACUACACCGUGAGGGCCCUCUCUGACCUGCAGUUCAUCAAGGUCACACGGCUGCAGUACCUCAAUGCGCUCCUGGCUACUCGAGCCCAGAACCUGCCACCGUCCCCUGAGAACACGGACCUCCAGGUCACCCCAGGCAGCCAGACCAGGCUACUCAGUGACAAGACAGCCCCAGCAGCAGCCUUCCCAAUAGACCUUUCCCUCUUUGGCACAUUUGGAAACUGCAGUUGAUAAUUGACUGUGGACUAGUGAGCAUUUUUUGUUUUAAGAAAACACCCAAGGGUCCACCCACAGCAGACCCGGCCUCCCAGCUGAGGAGAGCCCUGGGCGGAACCCAGGAGUUUAACUGCUUGCCAGGAGCCCCAGGUCUGGGGAAUGGACAAGCAUGUGGGGACCUGGAGAGAGCCGAGGAGUUGCUUCCUGCCAGCCUGUCCCCAUCCCCUCCAGGCCACGUUUUAGAUGGCCCUUAUCGAUGCGGGUCCUGGGCUCUCCUCAGCACAGACGUCAGUGCCAAGAGCCUUCAGCAGGUCCUGCCGUCUUUAGGAAAUGGGGGUCAGCUGGGGCACAGCCCUGCAGGCCUGCUUCGGAGGGAAUGAAAAAGCAGAGUCAUCUCGAGGCCCCGGGCCCAGCCUUCUCCCUGUGACAGUGCAGCAUAUUCAUACCUCUUCAGGCCAAGCCGUGAUGUGUGCGCACGGUUACUCCUUUAUGUGGCCGUGACCUGUACUCACUUUGCUUUUAAUUUGCCAACUUUCUGCUGCUGGCAGCACUUUUUGAGCAAACCGAGAGCACCAGUUUUGGCUGGGGGUUCAAAUCCAUGGCCUUGGCCAUAGUGAACUGUUUGGCUUUCCUUACAUUGCCGUGUUUCAAGUGUGUGCCCCAGCGUGUCCCAUGUGCCAAACCUAGAAGCACCAUUACCCACAAGUCUGUCCCCUGGUCCCGCUCCCUCCUGUGGAGGCUGCUUUUCUGACCCAUUCCAGAGCCCUGAGUGCGCGAGCUGGCCCCCAAGGGGACUGAGGAGGCCUGCUCUUUCUGUUUCUCCUCCGCCUGCGGGCUUGGUUGCCACUAACAGUAUUGUCAUUGUACUGUCAUUGUUUUAAGAAGAGGUCACAGGUGGGAGGAAGGGGUCUUUCUGCUGCACCUGAUCCUGUCUUCGUUGCUGGAUCCCAGGGAGAGUAACUGUUAGACCAACCUCGUCCCUUCCUCCCGGGCCUCCGAGGGGUCUGCGUGGCUGUCACGUGCGUGCAGAGCAGCAGGGGAGGGGAGUGUGGUUAUGGACCAGGUGGAUCCCCACCAACUUUCUUUUAAAAAGCCGUGAAAUCAAAGUUUUCUUCUAUCUCUGAAACCUUUAGGACUCUGCUUUUUUCCUAUUCCUAGCUACGGGGCUUUAGAGAAGUGGGAACAAGAAGGCGUUUGUCUUUCCCUCCUGGUUUCCCUGUGUUUACCUUCCACAGUUCUUCGGCUGUGCAGAAACUGGGGCGGCACAGGGACUGAGGACCGUAGAUCGGACAGGGCGGGGUGAGAUUUCUGGAACCCUUCUCAAAGGAAGUUGGGUCCUUAUCUGGGACCAGUGGGAAUGAAGGCCAGAGAACAUGGUAUGCUCACUCAGAAGUUGUUCUCAAGGAAUUCUCUCCAAGAGCAAACCCAGGUGGGAAACGGAGACGGUAAAAUCUCUCUGCACCAUGCUGGUUCAUAACCUUAGCUGCACGUUGGAAUCGUGGCAAAUGAAAAUAACUGAUACCUGGGGCCCAUCCCCCCCAGGAUUCUGAUUCAAUCAGUCUGGGCAUCAGGACUUUAUUUUUUGAAAUAGUUUUGGAUUCACAGAAGAGUCCAUGUGCCCUUCAGCCAGCUUCCCCUAAAGUUGACGUCUUAUAUGACUUUGGUACCUUUAUCAAAACUAAAAAAUUAACAUUGGUACAAAACUAGUAACUAAAUUACAGACUUUGUUUGGAUUUUACCGGUUUUCCCAAUAAUGUCCUUUUUCUGUUGCAGGAUCCAAUCCAGGAUACCAAGUCGCAGUUAGAGCUGAUGCUUUUUUCUUUUCAUAACUAACUUUUUAUUUUGAAAUCAUUACGGAUUCAUAGGAAGUUGCAAGGAUAGAGGUCUCAUGUACCCUUCACGCAGUUUUCCUCAGAGGUUCCAUCUUAUGUAGUUAUAAUACAGUAUCGAGCCAGGAAUUGGACACUGGUGCAAUGUGGGUGUAUAGUUAUAUAUCAUCUUAGCACGUGUAGAUUUGUGUAACCGCCACUGCAAUCUAGAUACAGAGCUGUCCCGUCACCACAAGGCUCUCCCUCCGACUACCCCUUGAGAGCUGCCCCCACCCCUCUGCCACCAUCCCCAGUCCCUGGCAACCACUGAUCUGGUCGUCAUCUCUAUAAUUGUGUCAUUUCAAGAAUGUUGUAUAAAUGGGAUCGUAUAGUAUGUGACCUUUUGGGAUUGGCUUUUUUCACUCGGCAAAUAGUCUGGAGAUUCAGCCAGGUUGUUGCGUGUGUUAACAGUUCGUUCCUUUUGAUUGCUGUGUAGAAUUCCAUGGUAUACUCGUUGUCCUGUUUAAGGACGUCUGGGUGGUUUCCAGUUUUUGGCUAUUCCAAAUAAAGCUGCUAUGAACAUUCA